GCGCCCGUAGCUCAGGGGACUAGAGCAGCGGAUUUCUAAUCCGCGGGUCGGUGGUUCGAAUCCACCCGGGCGCG
rfam:Verrucomicrobia subdivision 6 bacterium BACL9 MAG-120924-bin69 contig03583_1_120924-bin69, whole genome shotgun sequence.